GAAUCCAGAUGGAAAUCACAAGCCUUUAGAUAGCCAGCCAGUGGGAACAGCUAAGCCAAUCCUGCUCACAAACCCAGACACUCAGCUUGGGCCUGGAUUUUGGGUGCGGCUAAUGAGCAAUAGUUCCUGGGAAAGAAGCAUCUGGGACUUGGCUCUUCAGAGGAAGACACCAGAGGUGAAGGGGAGGAAAGCACCUUUUAUUUAUAUGUAAGCAAGAAAAGUGGCAACAGAGCUAAUUCAGGAUACCCUGAAUCCAAUCACCAACAAUCUGGAUCCAAAGGAACAUGUUGCAGUGUAAAGAGUUUGUAGCCAGAGGAGCUGGGUUCUGGCACUUGCCACAGGUGGGACUUUUGAUGCUGCAAAAACAUCCACUCGUUGACAGGAAUGGAGUCCUUUUCUACAAAUGAGUGCGGUAAGAGUUAAAGCUUGGGAUUACAGAAGUGAAGAGUUUUCACUCUAACUGAUAAUUGCUUAUAGGAGCUCUGUUGGACAGAAGACUCCAGGAAGGUUACCAUGCUUGUGGUUGAGAAGGAACAAAAUCCAAAGCAAAGACAAAUAAGAAAGGCUAAUCUUAGAAGGUCCUUAUGGGGAAGGCCACUGGAUUCCAGAAAGAAGAACAAGGAGAGGUGAUUCUUCCAGACUGUGAAUCAUGAAAUGCCAUCCACUUGGUCAAUCUGAAAUCACCUUAGACCUGAUCCUGACACUCAGUACCGCAUGCUGCUGCUGCCGCCUACAACUCACUCAUCUCUCCUCCUCAGUCUGAACCCAUUGGGCAGGGCCACCUCUAUGCUCCUUGUCAGCCUGAAGCAGUUCCAGAAGAUGAGAUCUUCGACCCUUUGCCACAGAUGGGUCUGGGUCUGGACUGCUUGAGGUGGCCCCUUAUAGAAAAAAUAAAGAUCAAGGAUUUUCCCUUAU